GAGAGGAUGAUCAGCCACAUUGGGACUGAGACACGGCCCAAACUCCUACGGGAGGCAGCAGUGGGGAAUAUUGGACAAUGGGCGCAAGCCUGAUCCAGCCAUGCCGCGUGAGUGAUGAAGGCCCUAGGGUUGUAAAGCUCUUUCACCGGAGAAGAUAAUGACGGUAUCCGGAGAAGAAGCCCCGGCUAACUUCGUGCCAGCA
rnacentral:rRNA from 1 species